rnacentral:lncRNA from 1 species
GGCAGUGAGCCAGUCCAAGGCACAAGAUCUCAUUGUACGUAGGUGCUGCCAUACCUUGUGCCUCAACUCAAAAGUGGUGACUGUCAGAGAGUCAAGUCCUUUUCAGAAGGAGAUGGAAAAACCAACCAAUCAUACUGAUUUUAUACCAUCUAACACCCCGUGCUGCCUGGCAUUGACAGAACAUCAGUGGUUAGCUAUAGUAAGAGUGCAUCAGCUGAUUGGACUGAGAUGUCAAACGUGGAAAUAGGAACACAAGAAUAGAAAAGUCACCUUGCCAAGCUCUCCACACCCAGGAGAGAACUGAGAGGAAGAUUAUGCCUGAGCUAACAUCUGUGCCAAUCUUCCUCCAUUUCCUUUUUUUGGAUGUGGGAUGCCAUCACAGCAUAGCUUCAUGAGCAGUGUAUAAGUCCAUGCCUGUGAACCCUGGGCCAUCAAAGUGGAGUGUGCAAACUUAACCGCUAUGCCACCGGGCUGACCCGAGAGUAUACCCAUCUUAAUCAUGAGAAAACUCCAAGUGAAGAGAAUGGCUCUCAACUAUAAGGAUAGAAAAUUAAGCCUCGGGUUCUGGAAGCUGUCAGAAAAUCAUCAGCGUACCCAGCCUCGCACACGAAAGAGAUGAGAUUGGGGCACCAGCUACAGCAGAUACUUGAAAAUUCCAGGCUGUGCUUAUCUGACCUGACAUUGACCUCUUGUCAAAGGCAGCUUUGUUUCCUUGGUGGUUAGUUUUAUGCCAGAAAAUACUUCUGUUUUGUAAAUGACCGGCCAGUCCUGCUGGGCAGAGCAGGGCUCCUGGCGUCGUGGUUGAGGGAGAUGGCCCAGAAUCUUGAAUGGAACUGAGGACAGGACUGACAAAGAGGAGGUGGCUUCUGAGAGCUCUUGGGUCUCCCACAGAAGAUGGUCUCAGUGACAUCUAUCUGUCCAUGUGAUGGAAGAGGCACAGCCACACUAUCCGAGCAAGGGCGUGAUCAUGGCAUCUCACCAAGGACACGUUUCCCUCAGAGGAAGGAAACCAGGAGCCCCUUCAGGCCAGAUAAUCCAGCCUGAUGUGUCAGGUACCUGGGACCUUGAGAGGAAGAGAGUGGAGGUGGGGAACUUUACGACAGGAGGGGGAAGUGUGUGUGUGUGUGUGUGUGUGUGUGUGUGUGUGUGAGUGUGUGUGUUCACACACGUGUGUUGAAUUGGGGGACAGUUAGGAUAAAGAGUUUCCUCUGGCUGUCGCAAUUUGGGAAUUGUGGGGGCUUAUACAUAACACCCAUGUUCUCCACCUGAAUUCAAAAUCCAUAGAGAGAAAGAUACAGACAGUCAACAGUUGGAGAUCCAAGUGUCAGCUUUACUACAAACAAGCUGGCUAGCCAGUGUGGCUGCAGAUCUGCAGCCCAAGGGUUAUGCCAACGCUUUGCUCUGAAAUGUCUGCAUGGACCAGAGCUCAGCAGGCCUUCCCACAGGGCCGGGCCCCUCUGCAGGCACAGGGGCACCAGGAUGGAUCCUCUGUGCCUGUAGGCAGAUCUGGAACAAGAACCAGGAAGAGCUGAGCCCUGCAGGCCCAGAUCCUUCUCCCAGGAUAUCAACCAGACAACUGACUUCCUCUCUUCCUCCCAAGAGGAUGAAUGGCGGCUGAGGGGGUGACCUUAGAAGAGGUUCCUGCUCACGAAAGUGCAAACCUAGGGGGAACCCCCCCAACAAGUUCUAUGCAGACAGAAAACAACAACUAGAAUCUGCAGUCAUUGCACUGUAAGGCUUCGCUCAUCUCUGAGUGUACCAUGAACUUCCAGGAUGUGCACUGGUGGUACCGGGGUCACCAGGCUUGGUUUUCCAGGCCCAGAGAGGCCUAUGCACUGCAACAGUGCAGCACGAGUAAUGGAAUCAGGAGAAGUGUCUAUGCAGGUAAAAAGGGCACCCCCAACCUCCCUGUACCUUGUGUGCUUCUUGAGUAUUCGUCUUACCUCCAGACAGGAAUAGUUGCUCCUAGAGAGCAGGACACAUGCACAGCCCUUCUCAGAAUUGGCCCUGUUCCUCUUCAGUUUGAUUCACUCAUGGCAUAGGAACUUGGUCCCCAUCCACCCCCAUGUGACUGAAAGCUGUCAGGUCUAGAGAACAACUGAGACUGUUCCUGUCAGUCCUGAUCUUGGAGACUAUUGCAAUCAGUAAAUCCCACCAUUGGAAGGUGGCCUUGUGUAAACUACCCCCAUGAAAAUUUCCUUCAAAGAGAUGAGGGGCUGUGGGUGGGGGAAGUGGGCAAAGGUGGUCAAAAGGUACGAACUUCCAGUUAUCAGAUAAACAAGUCCUGGGAUGUAACGUCCAGCAUGGUGACUCUAGCUUAUAAUACUGUGUUGUGUAUUUGAAAGGUACUAAGAGAGUAGAUCCUAAAAGUUCUCAUCACAAGAAAAAGAUUGUAUUGAUGCGAGGUGAUGGAUGUUAACCCAACUUAUUGUGGUGAUCAUUUUAUAAUAUAUACAUACAUCAAACCAGUAUGUUGUACAUCUAGAACUAAUAAAACGUUGUAUGUCAAUUAUAUCUCAAUAAAACUGGAAAAGUUUUUCAAAAAUUCCCUCAACAAUCCCUUUCAGAUAGUUGUUUGUAUCGCUUCUCUUUUCCACAACCUCCUUUAGUAACCGCACUGAAUCCCGAAUUGGUUUUGUGACUGUAAUCUCAAUUGGCUGGCUGCUGUGUGGCAGGAUCGUGUUUAAUUUGAUUUUAAGCUUAACUGAUGCCUUACUUCUUUUCAAAUGUCUGUGGUGGUACAAAUCCUCCUAAACUAUGUUGCAGGAUUUUAGGUUCUCCUUGCCUCGCCACUGUGGGGGAAUUACUCUGAGACAGGUCCAGGCUAACUGGGUGGGUUGAAUAUGCAGAUGUUUGCUGGGGUUGCAGCAGGAAGCCAGGUGGAGAACAUGGAAGGGCAGCUCCAGGUUGCUGAGUCACGGGCAAGAAGAGGAGAGGGCAGAGCUGGGAAGAGCUUCCCAUUAGGGCCCAGAGUGAGGAAUAGAAAGCAGUCAGGGGCAGAUAGGGAGCGAGGAUGCUCAAGCACCAAUUGAAUCCUCUUCACUUACCCAAGUUGCAGGGGAAUCAUUAGUCUUCAGCUGUCUGCCUGUCUGCUUCCCUUUUUUUUUUUUUUUGCUGGGGAAGACUUGCCAGCAUGGCCACUGACAGACAGAGUGGUGUAGUUCCAGCCCAGGAACGAAGCCAAGCUGCCAAAGUGGAGCAUGUUGAUCUUUAACCACUAGGCCACUGGGGCUGGCCUUCUGCUUCCUUUUAAGAUCCUGCAUCCUGCUAUAUAAGCACAGGAAUCUAGACACAACUAAGGGCCUUGCAGCACCCAACAGAAUGUUCUGAAACUAAUUGUCCUACAUGGAAAGACCUUACAAAUACUUAUAUUAAUUACUUCUGUGAAGUACUUCUAUGUACAUAAAAAUGGCAGUAAAAUAUUAAAUGCAGAAGAUCACCAAGAAUAUAGAUGGAAUGAAAAUCGAAUGACAUCCAACUAAUGGAAAGUUUAGUGUAAUAGUAUUUAGUCUAAUUUUUCAGCCAUCGUCUUGGACUGUGAUGAUGUUCACAAAGAUUGGGAAGCUUUUCCUGCAAAUCUUCACCCGGAUCUGGGAAAAUUCUGCUCUCUGCCUGAGGGAUGCAGAUGAGGACAGUCCUGCUCCUUUGUGUGGCUUUGGAGGGCGUACAGGAUACAGAGAGAACGUGACUUGAAGAAAUGACGCUGUCUGUGAGUCCAGUUUAUUUGUGGACUCCUGAGGCUUGAGUGUAACCAGAGUAAAAUAAACGUAUAUAUGGAAACUGUAUCUGUGAAUUGCAUCCUAACCACUGUUUCCAUCUCUUUCUCUUUGCCUUUUAAUAUAGUUGAAAUGUCCCAAUAUGAGCUAGAAAACGUCUGUGUUUGUUGAUGAAAUCCAAUUGUAUGGAUAUGAUGGUGUUCAUAAAUCCUCUAAAUUCAGUGCUCUGGAAUUUUCCCAGAUUGAAAUCAAAUACACUCCUGCCUGGCUCUCAAAUUCCAAGUCAGUGGUAUCUCCCACCACACACAGCCUGUCCGUGACAUUCCUGUGGGAGGUUAUCACAAUGCAGGGACUGUGUGAGUACUCAGGGCUUAUCUAAUCAUGUUUGCUUGACACUUGUUUUACUGUGUCCAGAUCUCACCAGCUGAUCAAGUGACCGGACUGUCUAGUGAGCUGGAAAAAAAGAGAGCUUCCUACAGAUGCUUGCCCUUGUUUUAAACUCAUUCUCCGGCAAGUUAGAGGAGUUUCAUCUCACAGCUUGGACUACAUCAUUCCUGGUCAAUCACUGCCUUGGAAACCUGAGCCCUAUCCUAGCUCUCUAGUUUCAGGGAACAUUCCUGAAUGGGGCAGGUGUUUGGUCAAGAUGAUUCUUAAGGUCUUUUCCAAUUCUCCGUUUUGUGGAUGCUGAGAUCUACUUGCCACAGCAUGUAGCACAGUUCCUCCCUGUUCCCUACAACCCAAAUUGGCAUUCAAUAAAUAUUUGUGGGAUGAAUGAAUGAGUGGAUGAAUAAAUGAACAAACGGACAGAAUUGUCAACUGAUUACAGCCCCAAGUCCUUCUCCCAGUUCGUCCCUGGAAAACCAUUUUGUUUUGGGUAAAAACUCUUGCAGAAAGGACUCCUGGUACCCAAAACCCUCCCCGACAUGCCAGAGUUCCAGUGAUAGGCAAACAACCGUAUCUACUCUAGGGUUUCUCAUGCCGUGGAGAUGUAACUGAUACCCUUCAAAGCAAAAGAGGUUACCAUUUCCACCUCUUAGGAUGGCUACUAUUAAAAAAACGGAAAAUAACAAGUGUUGGUGAGGAUGUGGAGAAAUUGGAACUCUUGUACAUUGCUGAUGGAAAUGCAAAAUGGUACAGCUGCUGUGGGAAACAGGCAGUUUCUGAAAAAGUUAAGCAUAGAAUAACCAUAUAACCCAGAAAUUCCACUCCUAGGUAUAUCCUCAAAAGAAUUGAGGGGUCACCCUGGUGGCACAGUGGUUAAGUUCUCAUGUUCCGCUUUGGUGGCCCAGGGUUCGCCGGUUCAGAUCUUGGGUGUGGACCUAUGCACCACUCAUCAAGCCAUGCUGUGGCAGAUGUCCCACAUAUAAAAUAGAAAAGAUGUUCACAGAUGUUAGGUCAGGGCCAAUCUUCCUCAGCAAAAAGAGAAGGAUUGGCAGCAGAUGUUAGCUAAGGGCUAAUCUUCCUCAAAAAAAAAAAAAAAGUCAAAUUUCCUUAAAAAAAAAAAAAAGAAUUGAAAGCAGGAACUCAGGUACUUUUACAUGAAUGUUCAUAGGAAUAAUAUUCACAAUUGUCAAAAAG